CAGCCAAUUGUGGGUCUUGCUCCCUACGUCUCAAAGAGGGACAGAAAUGUGUCAACGUGUCCGAGAUGAAAGAUGAACAUCCUAUGGAGGAUCUCAUUAGUAGGCCAACAUCAGACACUCCCAAGUUUCUCCCCACUACAAUGUUCUUUCUUUCCUUUUUUUUCUUUCAACACGCCUACUUCUUUGCUUUCUCUUUUUCUACUUUCCAUGUAAUUCCUCCAGGUGCUGGCAGUCCAGUUGUUGAGGGACUUCAGCUGGUCGCCUACGCAAACGUCUAUCGGCUAAUCUUUGCAUUCGUUUGCACAAAGGUCAUGACUAAUGACGGUUGUAUAGAAGCACAAUAGCCAGUCACCGGACCCGAGACUGCCCAGUCAUGGUCGCGACAUGGCGUCGGGAAGUAACCUCGCUAAUUUCACCAUCGCUCUUCGUUGUCGCUCAUGAAAGACCAAGGCGGCUCGCUUUUGUGAAUUUGACAUUCUCGAUGACUCCCAUACCUACGGCAUACCUACAGCACCAGAUUUCCUUCUCGAUUUUCUUUUACGUGGCCACGUUAUCGAUUUUGCAAUCACGCUCCAUACGUAGUUAAAGGUUAAUUUCUACGCUCGUUAGCGAUUGCAGCGAAGGUAUCGUAAAUCAAUUUUCCAUCGAAGCGUUCGAUCGGAUGACGUUUAAAGUGAAAAAGCAUCGAGCUUUCGUAGAGUUUGCUAACUUCUUCAGAAGUUUUAAAAAGAUCCGUACAUUUUGUAAAUUAACUUCGAACGAGGAGUGAAGAUACGAGGGAAUAAAAAUAAAAAACGAUGUCGAAUAGAAAAGAGGCUUCUAGCAGGAAAGAAAGAAAAUAUACACGAGGAAAAAAGUAAAAAAAGCACGGGUAAGUGGGGUGGUAGUCGAAAAGCUAAGUAGCACAAUCUGCGAAACUGCAACUUGGCUAUAACAAAUACGCAAGGAAAUAAAUGUCUGUAUAAAAGAGUUGGCAAGUUCCCCGGAUAAUAUCAAGAUGUCGCCGGAUAUAUUCGUGAGGAGGUCGAGGAGCAACGGGGCUAGGAUGCGGCACAAAAGAACUCGGGUUUUAUCUCCGUUCUUUCAUUCGCCAAGAGGACGUAACGGUGCAUGCGAUAAAGCGAAAUUAUGCUCGAUGCGGAUCCGUUUGUUUAUCGGCACGAUUAGCGCUUGCUUCUUGGCAGUUCCCUACGGAAUCGUGUCGAUGACUCGGGUUUCAAGGCCGCUGUACUUGUUGGCAGGAGGACAAUGGAUGAGUGUCGUAAGAGGAAAGAGAAAAAGUGAUAUCCAAACUUGACGUAAGUUUACGUAAAUCGUAAAACCGGCGAAUCAACGAGCAUGCAGAAACGUAAUAGCUCAGCGCAUAUCCAAGGAAGGAUCAACGUCGUUUCUACGAAAGCAUGAUAAAAUUAGAUUCGCAAUCACGAGUGGGAAUGGAAUUUCGUUUGAGAUACGCCUGCGAUGAUUCCACGAUAACAAAGUCUCGCGUAUGUAUACGCACGUCGGUGGUUAGGUAGCUUCAGCAUGUAAACUUGUCGCUUUAAUACCGUUGACUCAUAGAGAGAGAGAGAGAAAGAGAGAGAGAGAGAGAGAGAAAGAGAAAACGAUGUGGACUGGGGAAGGGAAGUGAGAAUGAGCGAAGGCAAACGAAAGAGCGUGUCACAUAGAAUUAGGCACGCCUCGGCAAAUUAAUGCGUCCGCCUUGAAGCUCUGGCAGAGGGCAGCAGCUCGACGAUGAAGGAGGAUGAGGGAGAGAGAGAGAGAGAGUGAGAAGAAGAAGAAGAGAGGGGAACAUAGGCCGACAUCAGUAGAAAGGGAAGGAAUGGAGGGGUGGAAGAGACGUCUAUGUUACACUAACGACAAUGACACUCAUGGAAUGCAAGCGUGGAAAGCACGUCGUAUGCGUUUAUAAUUAUGGCAAGUAACCAGACGUACUUAAAAAGAUUAUUCCAAGUGUGCAGCGCUUAGAGUGUUGCAACCUUUAAUUCGUCGUUAGAACUUCUUUUUUUUACAUAACCACAGUGGUAGGUAUUUUAAGUGAUUUUAACGUUUAAGAAUUUAAUCGUUUCUUCGAUAUGCGAUUUAAACCAAACGUAAGUUGCGAUUGCAAAUUAAUCUUUUUUCUUAUUUUUUUCACAUAGAUUAGAACGAAAUAGUCAAUUGUGUGUAUCUUUGAUAUCGCAAAAGAAAUAUUUUUCAAGAAAUCACCGUGCACUCGUCAGAUUAUUUUUCUAUUUCUUUCGCCGUCACGGUAUUCACAUCCAUUGUCAGGAGGCUAAAAGGUUUUCGUCUUGGGGCGCAUUUCGCGGUACAUUUUGCAGGCUUACCAUAGUAUGUCACUGUCACGACCGUGGCCGGACUCCAUCCUAGCGAGGUACUACGCACACGAACGUCAGACUAUUCGUAUAAAGCGAGGAGUAUCCCGAGCUACGAACAAUCUUGACAGUAGAUCGGCCAACGGAUGACAGGUAUCGACCUGUAUCAACAUCAUUUUCCUGUGAAGCCAUGUCCUGUUUCAUCUCCUGUCUCUCUGUCUUCUCCUUCUCUCUCUCUCUCUCUCUCUCUUUCUCUCUCUCUCUCUCUCUCUUUCUCUCUCUCUCGAUCUUUGUCUCACAUUUUCUCUCGGUGUCUCCUGCAUGUCUGCAUAACGCCUAUCGUGCGUAUAAGACUUGUAACCGAGAGAAAAAAGACGCAUAAUGUGUGUGAGGGAGAGAGAGAAAGAGAAAGAGAGAGAGAGAGAGAGAGAGAGAGAGAGUGAGAGAUAGAAGAUGAAGGGAGAGGUAGGAUUAUUAUCCGGCCACUCUACUUUGCUACCUAGCGUGUUUCUUGAUUACUAUCGGCGCAGCUGCGCCUACAAUUUGUGUUUCCCGUCAAGCGUGCGUAAGAGAGCCGUCCGUCAACGUCGUGCCCAUAACGACGCGGCUCUUGCCGUUAAGAUGCCGCGGAUAGGCGGCCCGUACCGCAUAUCCGUCACAGAUGCCGCUCUGUCGCGGAUUCUUUCGCCGAUUCGACGUUCCUUACCUCGAGUCGGAGAGCUCGAUGAAAUCCAAAAAAGUCGAAGACUGCUUCGAAGGAAUUACCAGUUAGUUGAGGUUCUCUCUUUCUUUCUGUAUACCUUCUUCGUCUAUCUCGGGAAUUCGAAAAAAGUUUCGAUGCCAUAUGAUCGAUGUGUUCGAUCAUGCUGAUUUUUCUUUCUCUUUCUUUUUUUUUUUUCCUUUUUUCUUUCAUAUUCUCGACGAGUGGAUAGAGACGCUCUACUUGUUCGAGGCAUCGCGUAAAAUAACAAAUUGUAUCUUAAUGUCAUGUAUCAUCAUUGAUGUUGAAGGAUAAGAAAAAGAAACGAGAGAGGUUCGAAAGGGACGGUAAAAUUUUUCUUAGUUAUAACGACAUAAGUACAUUAUGAGGUAAUUUGUUACAGAAUGUAAUUUGUAGUUCAACGUUACUGCUACCUCUGGGAAGAAGUGAACGUCGAUUACAAUCGUUCUGUGUAUGAAUGUAUAUAAGUACAAAACUUACGACUCGUGUCUUUUAUCCAUAAAAUCUGUUUCAACGUCUUGCAUAAUUUUUGUAAUGGUUUUAGUAACGGUAUUUUAAUCGUACGUCGACAUAGAAAGAAAUCGUGAAUUUAGUAAAAGAAGUAAAGCAACGUAAAAUGUUGAAACGAUAUAUAGUAACGUAGAUACAUACUUACAUACAUAUGUACGAAUCGAUGAACGUAACUUCUCCGCCACCUGAUGUACAUACAUAUGUAGUCUCAGCAGCUGACAGCGGUAUUGGUAUCGUGAUUACAACUUCGUUCGCCACGCUCGAUCACGACGUUAUCCAUUGACACUGACUAACGCGAUCAGCUUGAAUUAUCUCGGCCGAUCGCGAGAAAUUACCUAUGAUUCAUACUAUCGUUAGGCAUACAUUAGUUUUACUACUUUUGCGCAAGAAUGGUCUACGCGAUCUGACGCUUAAUGGUUAACUUAGCGAACAGCUGCAUCGUAUAAGAGAAAAAGGAAAAGAGAAGAAAGAAAGAUGCAAUUAUGUACAUAUGUAUUUUCGAAUGGACGUUGAAAAUGAUCGCCAACGGAGCAGCGAUUUAUUAGUUUCCUUUUUCGUAGAACCGAACGUAUUUGGUUGAGGUUAUUUAAACCGAUGGAAAAGAAAAGAGAGAAGGAUUUUGUGGAGGUGACUUAGAAAUUGGAAAGAGCGAUGGUUACCUUUCUAUCGUGGCACGUCAGCUGUUUUUCGAAUUCUGUCAAUUCUCGUCGGUCGCAUAGGGCACUUUGGCAUAAAAAUGCUGUUAUGCUGGAUGAUCGGCUUUUCGAAGGCUUUUGCCCGACACGGUACAAAUGUAUCGUAUAUCAAAGCGGGCGGCCAUGACCACGAGAAAAUAAGAAAGCUUUUAUUCUUUUUAUGGUACGAGCUCACCGUAGGCGGUGUUUGAUAUAUGAUCGGAGGUCAGCAUUUUGUUGACGACGAAAGCUACUGCCACGACGACUGAGAAUGUAGUUCACCGUUCGCGUCGUUUGUGAAUAAGUUCAACGUGUUAUACCGCAUUUGAUAAUAAUGUAAAGGAAUGAAGAAAAAAAAAAAAAAGAAUUAUAUGAAACGUGACUGUAACAGGAAAAUUGCUACUUUGUUCCUGUCGAUCGACUAUCACUCUUAACUUCUUUUUCAUGCUUCACGGAUAAGACGUCUCAUAGUAUUAUGUCAAAGAGCGUGAAAGGAAUCACAAUUCCAAUAAAGUUGUCCAUAUAUUCUGUGACGGGUGUUUUUCUUUACUGUUAAAGAUAGGUUUUCAAUGCUCCUGGCAGUUUCUAGAGUUGCAGAACAGAAUUAUAAAUUAGAUCUCGAUGAUCGAGCUAGGUAUAAUAAACUUGAUUAAUAAAAAAAUAUAGAAAAAUAAUAAUAAUAAAUGUAAAAGAAUAUAAAUGAGAUAUAAUAUAAAAACUUACUGCAAUGAGUUAAUCCAAUAUAAACACCUGGUACUGCAUAUGGAAUUUAGAAUCGGAAAUCGAAUAAAAUACAGCGGUCGAUAUAUUAGAUCAGCG